CUACUACUCUCUCCGUCCCAUAUUAAGUGCUGAAAUAUUACGUGUAUCUAGACGUAUUUUAGUAUAUAGAUUCGUUCAUAUUUAGACAAAUUUGAGUCACUUAAUAUGGGACAGAGGGAGUAGUGU
rnacentral:pre_miRNA from 1 species